GGGAGAUCAUGGAGGAAGACGAGGGCGGCCAUGAGGGAGAUCAUGGAGGAAGACGAGGGCGGCCAUGAGGGGAGAUCAUGGAGGAAGACAAGGGGUGGCCAUGAGGGGAGAUCAUGGAGGAAGGUGAGAGGCGGCCAUGAGGGGAGAUCAUGGAGGAAGACGAGGGCGGCCAUGAGGGGAGAUCAUGGAGGAAGACGAGGGCGGCCAUGAGGGGAGAUCAUGGAGGAAGGCGAGGGCGGCCAUGAGGGAGAUCAUGGAGGAAGGCGAGGGCGGCCAUGAGGGAGAUCAUGGAGGAAGGUGAGAGGCGGCCAUGAAGGGAGAUCAUGGAGGAAGACGAGGGCGGCCAUGAAGGGAGAUCAUGGAGGAAGGUGAGAGGCGGCCAUGAAGGGAGAUCAUGGAGGAAGACGAGGGCGGCCAUGAGGGGAGAUCAUGGAGGAAGACGAGGGCGGCCAUGAGGGGAGAUCAUGGAGGAAGGUGAGAGGCGGCCAUGAGGGGAGAUCAUGGAUGAAGAUGAGGGUGGCCAUGAGGGGAGAUCAUGGAGGAAGGUGAGCGGCGGCCAUGAGGGGAGAUCAUGGAGGAAGGCGAGGGCGGCCAUGAGGGGAGAUCAUGGAGGAAGGCGAGGGCGGCCAUGAGGGGAGAUCAUGGAGGAAGGUGAGCGGCGGCCAUGAGGGGAGAUCAUGGAGGAAGACGAGGGUGGCCAUGAGGGGAGAUCAUGGAGGAAGAUGAGGGCGGCCAUGAGGGGAGAUCAUGGAGGAAGACGAGGGUGGCCAUGAGGGGAGAUCAUGGAGGAAGGUGAGCGGCGGCCAUGAGGGGAGAUCAUGGAGGAAGGCGAGGGUGGCCAUGAGGGGAGAUCAUGGAGGAAGACGAGGGGCGGCCAUGAGGGGAGAUCAUGGAGGAAGGCGAGGGCGGCCAUGAGGGGAGAUCAUGGAGGAAGACGAGGGCGGCCAUGAGGGGAGAUCAUGGAGGAAGGUGAGA
rnacentral:lncRNA from 1 species